GGCGCGCUUAACGCAUGCAAGUCGAGCGAUGAGGCUCCCCUCGGGGAGUACAUCAGCGGCAGACGGGUGAGUAACACGUAGAUAACCUGCCCUCAAGACGGGGACAACCGGUGGAAACAGCGGCUAAUACCCGAUAUGCUCACAGGAUCGGGAGGUCGAGUGAGGAAAGGCUUCGGUGCUUGAGGAGGGAUCUGCGGCCCAUCAGCUAGUUGGUGAGGUAACGGCUCACCAAGGCGAAGACGGGUAGGGGGUGUGAGAGCAUGGCCCCCCACAAUGGGACUGAGACACGGCCCAUACUCCUACGGGAGGCAGCAGCGGGGAAUAUUGCGCAAUGGACGGAAGUCAGACGCAGCGACGCCGCGUGGGUGAGGAAGGCCUUCGGGUUGUAAAGCCCUUUUCAGGGGAGCGAGAAAGGACGGUACCCUUGGAAUAAGCGUCGGCUAACUACGUGCCAGCAGCCGCGGUAAGACGUAGGACGCAAGCGUUAUCCGGAUUUACUGGGCGUAAAGCGCCUGUAGGCGGUCAAGUAAGUCGGAUGUGAAAGCCCCGUGCUCAACGCGGGGAAGCCAUUCGAUACUGCGUGACUAGAGAACGGCAGAGGGAAACGGAAUUUCUGGUGUAGCGGUAAAAUGCGCAGAGAUCAGAAAGAACACCGAUGGCGAAGGCAGUUUCCUAGGCCGCAUCUGACGCUGAGAGGCGAAAGCUAGGGGAGCAAACAGGAUUAGAGACCCUGGUAGUCCUAGCUGUAAACGAUGGAUGCUAGGUGUGGGCCGGAAAGGUCCGUGCCGUAGUUAACGCGAUAAGCAUCCCGCCUGGGGAGUACGGCCGCAAGGCUAAAACUCAAACGAAUUGACGGGGACCCGCACAAGCAGCGGAGCGUGUGGUUUAAUUCGAUGCUACACGCAGAACCUUACCUGGGCUUGACAUGUAGGUGGUAGUGAAGUGAAAGCGGAGCGACCCUCCGGGGAGCCUACACAGGUGCUGCAUGGCUGUCGUCAGCUCGUGCCGUGAGGUGUCGGGUUAAGUCCCGUAACGAGCGCAACCCUUGUCCUUAGUUACAAGUGUCUAAGGAGACUGCCGGUGACAAACCGGAGGAAGGUGGGGAUGACGUCA
rnacentral:rRNA from 1 species